rnacentral:rRNA from 1 species
AGAGUUUGAUCAUGGCUCAGGAUGAACGCUGGCGGCGUGCCCGACACAUGCAAGUCGAGCGAUGAGGCUCCCUUCGGGGAGUACAUCAGCGGCGAACGGGUGAGUAACACGUAGGUGACCUGCCCCCGAAGACGGGGAUAACUUCUGGAAACAGAGGCUAAUACUCGAUGCACUCAAUAGUUCGUUCUAUUGAGUAAAGCUUAGGCGCUUUGGGAUGGGCCUGCGGUCCAUCAGCUAGUUGGUAGGGUAAUGGCCUACCAAGGCGAAGACGGAUAGGGGGCGUGAGAGCGCGACCCCCCACACUGGCACUGAGACACGGGCCAGACUCCUACGGGAGGCAGCAGUGAGGGAUAUUGCGCAAUGGACGGAAGUCUGACGCAGCGACGCCGCGUGGGUGAUGAAGGCCUUCGGGUUGUAAAGCCCUUUUAUGGGGGAAGAGAAAGGACGGUACCCCAUGAAUAAGCUCCGGCUAACUACGUGCCAGCAGCCGCGGUAAAACGUAGGGGGCAAGCGUUAUCCGGAUUUACUGGGCGUAAAGAGCGUUGAGGCGGUUCUGUAAGUUGGGCGUGAAAGCCCCGGGCUCAACCCGGGGAUGUCGUUCAAUACUGCAGGGCUGAGGCAGCGAGA